AAACCAGCUCUUCAAGUGGUCGGGAUAAUUAUUGGGCUUAAAGUGUCCGUAGCCGGUUUAGUAAGUUCCUGGUAAAAUCGGGUGGCUUAACUAUCCGUAUGCUAGGAAUACUGCUAUACUAGAGGGCGGGAGAGGUCUGAGGUACUACAGGGGUGAGGGGUGAAAUCUUGUAAUCCUUGUAGGACCACCAGUGGCGAAGGCGUCAGACUGGAACGCGCCUGACGGUGAGGGACGAAAGCCAGGGGAGCGAACCGGAUUAGAUACCCGGGUAGUCCUGGCCGUAAACGAUGCAUACUAGGUGAUGGCACGGCCAUGAGCCGUGUCAGUGCCGUAGGGAAACCGUUAAGUGUGCCGCCUGGGAAGUACGGUCGCAAGGCUAAA
rnacentral:rRNA from 2 species